rnacentral:lncRNA from 1 species
ACAUGAUGCCCAGCACCCGGAGGAGCAGGGCCCCAUCGCUGAGGCGCAGGAAUCUCUUCUCCAACCAAAGGGGCGGCUCUUCCUCCUCUUCCUCUUCUUCCCCCUCCGAGUCCUCCGCCUCCCCGACCAGCCCGGCCAGUCCCAGCGCCUGUGAGGAGCCCAGAGGGGUCAGCCGACCAGCAGAGUGAACCCUGAGCCCCUCCGACCUGCCCCACAUCUCUGCAGGGCUAGCCCAGAGGUUGGCGGCGGAAGGCCCACAGCUCCCCUGGCUCCAUGGGCAAUGACCGAACAGCCCUUCACCUCUCUGGGCCUUGUUUUCUCAAACUGAAACUGGAGAGGAUGACCCCAGCCUGGGACCUUCGAGGGCCUCAAAAGGGCUCUGGGCCUUGCGUGAGACAGAGUCUGAAUCUGUGACCUAGUCUGGAGUGCAGUUGCAAGAUCACAACUCGCUGCAACUUCAACCUCCUGGGCUUAAGCAAUUCUCCUACUUCAGCCUUCUGAGUAACUGGGACUACGGGUGUGUGCCACCACACCUGGCUAAUUAUUUUGCUUGUUUUUUGUACAGACAGAGUCUUGCUGUGUUGCCCGGGCUGGUCUCGAACUCCUGGGCUCAAGUGAUCCUCCCGCCUUGGCCUCCUGAAGGGCUGAGAUGACGGCAUGAGCUGCCUCACGCAGCCCCCAUUCUACACCUCUGAAGUGAGUUUACAUGGUACAGUUGCUGUCUGGCUAGCUGCCGUCCCAACAUCACUGUCAGGACCCACACCUGAAAAGCACCAGCAUCAAAUCCUUCAGAAGAGUGUCAGCAGCUUGGAAGAAAUCCUAGAGGCAAGCAGAACCCUUU